rnacentral:rRNA from 1 species
UACGUAGGGUGCAAGCGUUAAUCGGAAUUACUGGGCGUAAAGCGUGCGCAGGCGGCUUUGCAAGACAGAUGUGAAAUCCCCGGGCUUAACCUGGGAACUGCAUUUGUGACUGCAGGGCUGGAGUGCGGCAGAGGGGGAUGGAAUUCCGCGUGUAGCAGUGAAAUGCGUAGAUAUGCGGAGGAACACCGAUGGCGAAGGCAAUCCCGUGGGCCUGAACUGACGCUCAUGCACGAAAGCGUGGGGAGCAAACAGG